rnacentral:rRNA from 1 species
UACGGAGGGUGCAAGCGUUAAUCGGAAUUACUGGGCGUAAAGCGUGCGCAGGCGGUUUGUUAAGUCCGUUGUGAAAGCCCCGAGCUCAACUUGGGAAUUGCAGUGGAUACUGGCAGGCUGGAGUACGGUAGAGGAAGGUGGAAUUCCCGGUGUAGCAGUGAAAUGCGUAGAUAUCGGGAGGAACACCAGUGGCGAAGGCGGCAACCUGGUCCUUGACUGACGCUGAGGCGCGAAAGCGUGGGGAGCGAACAGG